GCAUAGGAAUCUGCCUAGUAGUGGGGGACAACCUGGUGAAAACCAGGCUAAUACCGCAUACGACCUACGGGUGAAAGCAGGGGAUCUUCGGACCUUGCGCUAUUAGAUGAGCCUAUGUCUGAUUAGCUAGUUGGUAAGGUAAUGGCUUACCAAGGCGACGAUCAGUAGCUGGUCUGAGAGGAUGAUCAGCCACACUGGGACUGAGACACGGCCCAG
rnacentral:rRNA from 1 species